UAGACCGCCUGGGGAGUACGGCCGCAAGGUUAAAACUCAAAUGAAUUGACGGGGGCCCGCACAAGCGGUGGAGCAUGUGGUUUAAUUCGAUGCAACGCGAAGAACCUUACCUGGUCUUGACAUCCACAGAACUUUCCAGAGAUGGAUUGGUGCCUUCGGGAACUGUGAGACAGGUGCUGCAUGGCUGUCGUCAGCUCGUGUUGUGAAAUGUUGGGUUAAGUCCCGCAACGAGCGCAACCCUUAUCCUUUGUUGCCAGCGAUU
rnacentral:rRNA from 2 species